GACGAACGCUGGCGGCGUGCCUAAUACAUGCCAGUCGAACGCUUCUUUCCUCCCGAGUGCUUGCACUCAAUUGGAAAGAGGGGUGGCGGACGGGUGAGUAACACGUGGGUAACCUACCCAUCAGAGGGGGAUAACACUUGGAAACAGGUGCUAAUACCGCAUAACAGUUUAUGCCGCAUGGCAUAAGAGUGAAAGGCGCUUUCGGGUGUCGCUGAUGGAUGGACCCGCGGUGCAUUAGCUAGUUGGUGAGGUAACGGCUCAUCAAGGCCACGAUGCAUAGCCGACCUGAGAGGGUGAUCGGCCACACUGGGACUGAGACACGGCCCAGACUCCUACGGGAGGCAGCAGUAGGGAAUCUUCGGCAAUGGACGAAAGUCUGACCGAGCAACGCCGCGUGAGUGAAGAAGGUUUUCGGAUCGUAAAACUCUGUUGUUAGAGAAGAACAAGGACGUUAGUAACUGAACGUCCCCUGACGGUAUCUAACCAGAAAGCCACGGCUAACUACGUG
rnacentral:rRNA from 1 species